UACGAAGGGGGCAAGCGUUGUUCGGAAUUACUGGGCGUAAAGGGAGUGUAGGCGGUUUGAUAAGAUAGUGGUGAAAUCCCAGGGCUCAACCUUGGAAUUGCCAUUAUAACUAUUAGACUUGAGUUAUAGAGAGGAUAGUGGAAUACCCAGUGUAGAGGUGAAAUUCGUAGAUAUUGGGUAGAACACCGGUGGCGAAGGCGACUAUCUGGCUAUAUACUGACGCUGAGGCUCGAAAGCAUGGGGAUCAAACAGG
rnacentral:rRNA from 1 species